rnacentral:rRNA from 1 species
ACGGGAGGCAGCAGUGGGGAAUAUUGCACAAUGGGGGAAACCCUGAUGCAGCGACGCCGCGUGAGUGAAGAAGUAUUUCGGUAUGUAAAGCUCUAUCAGCAGGAAAGAAAAUGACGGUACCUGACUAAGAAGCCCCGGCUAACUACGUGCCAGCAGCCGCGGUAAUACGUAGGGGGCAAGCGUUAUCCGGAUUUACUGGGUGUAAAGGGAGCGUAGACGGUAAGGCAAGUCUGAAGUGAAAUGCCAGGGCUCAACCCUGGAACUGCUUUGGAAACUGUCCUACUAGAGUGCAGGAGAGGUAAGUGGAAUUCCUAGUGUAGCGGUGAAAUGCGUAGAUAUUAGGAGGAACACCAGUGGCGAAGGCGGCUUACCGGACUGUAACUGACGUUGAGGCUCGAAAGCGUGGGGAGCAAACAGGAUUAGAUACCCUGGUA